UGCAAGUCGACGCGAAAGGGGGCAACCCCGAGUAGAGUGGCGAAAGGGCGAGUAAUGCAUUCCUAACGUACCCCAAGGCCAGGGAUAGCUCAGGGAAACCUGAAUUAAUACCUGAUAACCCCGACGUGUCGCGUGACGUGUCGGGCAAAGGCUUGCUACCAUGGGAGCGGGGAAUGCGGUAUCAGCUAGUUGGUGAGGUAAUGGCUCACCAAGGCUAAGACGCCUAGCGGGUGUGAGAGCACGACCCGUCGCAUCGGGACUGAGACACUGCCCGGACUCCUACGGGAGGCUGCAGUAACGAAUAUUCCGCAAUGGGCGCAAGCCUGACGGAGCAAUGCCGCGUGCAGGAUGAAGCACUUCGGUGUGUAAACUGCUGUCAGGGGCUAGAAACUCAAUGAUCAGCCCCAGAGGAAGAGCCGGCUAACUCUGUGCCAGCAGCCGCGGUAAUACAGAGGGCUCGAGCGUUAAUCGGAAUCACUGGGCUUAAAGGGUGCGUAGGCGGAUCUGCAAGUGCUUUGUGAAAUCCCAUGGCUCAACCAUGGAACGGCUUGGCAUACUGCAGGUCUUGAGGUCGGUAGGGGAUGCCGGAACUCUAGGUGGAGCGGUGAAAUGCGUAGAUAUCUAGAGGAACGCCGA
rnacentral:rRNA from 1 species